UGUCGAACUUUGCUCACGAUGCCGUGACGAGUACACCAACAACGCAAUCGACAACGAUCAACGGAGGGACCGGUGUGCCCUCAUCACCGCAAUCGAAGCAGGCGCUUACCGGCAAGGCGCAAUCGUUGGCUGCUCGCACUCAAAAGUUCCAGUCAGCCGAAGCGAAUCGCAUGAACAACUCCUACCUGAAGCCCACUGCCCACGGUGCUUCUGGUCUGGGCAUCGUGAACGGUACGAAAUCGGAAUCGACACCCGCAUCGCCAGCCCUCUCCAACACCUCGACCUCGCAGUCGAUGGCCGCCAGCUUGAGCAACAGUGCUCCGAUGAGCCUGGGAACGCCGGCACCAGUCACCAAGAAGCCUCGCAACAUCUUCGGUACCCUGCGCAGUAAACUGACUCCGUCGAAGAAAUCGAAAUCUCUGGACGUACCACAGUACAGUCCGACCAGCGGUGCCAACCUGCGCAGCGCGUCAUCGACACUCAGCCGAGGAUCGUCUCUCGAUCAAAGAUCGAACAUCUUCCGCAAUCUGUCCCGCAAAUCGUCCAUCUCGGAAUCGUCGGCCAUUUCCGGGCUGUCGACGGGUAGUGGCCGCACGUACGUGCACGAGGAAUCGACGCUGCUGCUCGAAACGACGGAGAACGGUGUGGUCCGACACUAUCUCGUUCCGCUCGAGGUGGUGGCCAAGCAGAAGAACUGGAAACGGAAGGGCACGAAGCUGCACGUCUACAACGAUCACACGUUCAUCGCGAAACACAUCCCCGGUGGGUUGCUGUGUUUUGUCUGCAACCGCAGCAUACCGAGGCGCCCGGGCAAACAGGGAUACGAGUGUCGCGAUUGUGCGAUCCAGUGCCACAAACCGUGCCACGUGCGUGCACCACAAUCCUGUCCGAAUCCGAAAAUUUUAUCAAUGCAACUCGCUACGAUGCCUGUACUCAGAGACUAGUCUCAACAUCUUCUCUGUCUCCUCUCGCUUACCCUUACCGCCGGUGGCUAAAUGUCCCUAAAGUUCGAUUCACUUCAACGGUAGCCAGGUGAAAUACGCUACUGUUCUACUUAAACGAAGAUUAGGACCCCAAGAUAAACCUGAAGUGUGUUGGUUGGUCCGUCCCUGUUGCACCUGUAUUAUUCGCGCACUACCGCACCAAACUAUCCCUCCUCCAGCACUGCCGGAAAACGAGUAGUCCAAAGCCUCAAAAGCUCCGCCCCGUCUCUCAGUUAAUUGCUUCCAACGGUCCAUCCCACGGGCAUUACGCGACAACUCGUUCUCCACACGGAGCCAAGUCCUUUACCAUGGCCAUGGAAAUAAGCGGAGUCGUAUGGAGGAUGGAUAAACGCACACCCAAAAGAAUCUGAUAGUCAAUGGAAUGAAUCGAGUACGAAGCACACAUCUCUGCCAAAGGAGCAUUUAUCCGAACCAACACUAAACUGCAUCUCAUGUGCGCUACAUGUGCCCGGCGUGUGAUAGAAACGUCAAUCAACCGAUUCAGGAAAGAAGCGAAUAAGCUACAUUAGAACAGGCAAACUAUCCAAGAUAAAAGCAAAAGCACCAAACUUCUCGAAAAGAUUUCUCAACGAAAACUCUAUACGAUCUAUUUAACGACUAACGACGAUGUACGCUUUUACCGGUUUGCUGUAUUAGUUACCAUUGCAUCUCACUAAUCUCUCUAUCACGUGGUUUCUAUAUCUAAAAAUUUUUAUACCUCGACACCUUCUUCCCUAUAGCUCUCUUAUCCUAUGGGCGCUGCACCAUAGCUUGCGUUGUUACGUUGUUGUCUUCUCAUGUUAGGAAGCCACCCGUAGGCGUGACACCCCGAUAGAGUGUUGUUACUGUUGUUACCCUAUCACUCGUUUAGUCAAGAAAAAACAAAAACGUUCAACCAAGUACAAACGGGCACUACUGCACAGCACGGAAAAUGUAUCUACCCUGGACCGUAGGUGCAACCAAAAGAAUCCCUUGCGAACGACCGGAGAAGCUUUUCGAAUGGUGUUAAACACACACAGUGCCCAACGGUGGCAGUGCCCGUUGUCGGGAGUUUUCGAGCUGCUCGAGAUAGUCCUUAUUAUUAUUAUUUUUUAAAUAAAGCGAACCAGACGGCUGCUACUGCCGAAGAGAUUGUACUCACCGAAUGGAGUGCCGUGAAAGGUAACAUAGAAGGUUAUUAGUGACCAAACGCGCAAAAUGCCAUCACAAUCACUAGAGGGGAACUCAGAAAUAGUAACAAAAAAUGUGGAAAUUUGCAAAAGUCAUGGUUUCAAGUGGAAAAGAAAUAAAAGUUAACUAACAAGCGUCAUGUGGUGGGAAUGUUAACGUGUAAAAGGAACGGGCACUGGUAGCAUAUUUCGUAACUUGUAGUAGGAUUUCCCCCUCCCGGAGGUCUGUUAGUUCUGUCUUGAAACUAGUGUAUGGGGAAAUUGGCGUAUGGGAACACUUUCUCGGUUGGAUCAUCAUGUGUUAACUUUUACUCUGUCACCGCUCUGUGUUUUCUGUUACUUGAUUACGUAAUACUUAUGGAAGUUUUGUAAAAUCUUGUUGGAAGAAAAAUAAAAAGAGAAGUCCAAAGAAGCAGAAA